rnacentral:rRNA from 1 species
UACGUAGGCAGCGAGCGUUGUUCGGAGUUACUGGGCGUAAAGCGUGCGUAGGCGGUGUCUUAAGUUUGUUGUGAAAUCUCCCGGCUUAACCGGGAGGGUGCGGCGAAUACUGAGAUGCUGGAGUGCCGGAGAGGUAAGCGGAAUUCCUGGUGUAGCGGUGAAAUGCGUAGAGAUCCGGAGGAACACCAGCGGCGAAGGCGGCAUCCUGGACUGGUCCUGACACUCAGGAACGAAAGCGUGGGGAGCGAUCCGG